rnacentral:tRNA from 1 species
GGGGAUUUAGCUCAGUGGUAGAGCACUUGCCUAGCAAGCGCAAGGCCCUGGGUUCGAUCCCCAGUUCCG